rnacentral:rRNA from 1 species
AGUCAACAUGCCCAGGGGACGUGGAUAACCUCGGGAAACUGAGGAUAAACCGCGAUAGGUCAUCACUUCUGGAAUGGGUAAUGACUUAAACCUAUAUGGCCCCUGGAUUGGACUGCGGCCGAUCAGGCUGUUGGUGAGGUAAUGGCCCACCAAACCUGUAACCGGUACGGGCUCUGAGAGGAGGAGCCCGGAGAUGGGCACUGAGACAAGGGCCCAGGCCCUAUGGGGCGCAGCAGGCGCGAAACCUCUGCAAUAGGCGAAAGCUUGACAGGGUUACUCUGAGUGAUUUCCGUUAAGGAGAUCUUUUGGCACCUCUAAAAAUGGUGCAGAAUAAGGGGUGGGCAAGUCUGGUGUCAGCCGCCGCGGUAAUACCAGCACCCCGGGUGGUCGGGACGUUUAUUGGGCCUAAAGCAUCCGUAGCCGGUUCUACAAGUCUUCCGUUAAAUCCACCUGCUUAACAGAUGGGCUGCGGAAGAUACUAUAGAGCUAGGAGGCGGGAGAGGCAAGCGGUACUCGAUGGGUAGGGGUAAAAUCCGUUGAUCCAUUGAAGACCACCAGUGGCGAAGGCGGCUUGCCAGAACGCGCUCGACGGUGAGGGAUGAAAGCUGGGGGAGCAAACCGGAUUAGAUACCCGGGUAGUCCCAGCUGUAAACGAUGCAGACUCGGUGAUGAGUUGGC